UACAGAGGGUGCGAGCGUUAAUCGGAAUUACUGGGCGUAAAGGGCGCGUAGGCGGUUAUUUAAGUUAGAUGUGAAAUCCCCGGGCUUAACCUGGGAAUGGCAUUUAAGACUGGAUAGCUAGAGUAGAGAAGAGGGGAGUGGAAUUUCCGGUGUAGCGGUGAAAUGCGUAGAUAUCGGAAAGAACACCAGUGGCGAAGGCGGCUCUCUGGACUCAUACUGACGCUGAGGCGCGAAAGCAUGGGGAGCAAACAGG
rnacentral:rRNA from 1 species